rnacentral:rRNA from 1 species
UACGGAGGGUGCGAGCGUUGUCCGGAAUCGCUGGGCGGAAAGGGCGCGUAGGUGGCGCGAGUAGUCCACGGUGAAAGCCCGGGGCUCAACCCCGGGUCGGCCGUCGAUACUCUCGUGCUUGAGCACUGUAGAGGCAGGUGGAAUUCCGGGUGUAGCGGUGGAAUGCGUAGAGAUCCGGAAGAACACCGGUGGCGAAGGCGGCCUGCUGGGCAGUAGCUGACACUGAGGCGCGACAGCGUGGGGAGCAAACAGG